rnacentral:rRNA from 1 species
AAUGGGGGAAACCCUGAUGCAGCAACGCCGCGUGAGGUAUGAAGGCCUUUGGGUUGUAAGCCUCUGUCCUAGGGGAAGAAAAACAUGACGGUACCCGAGGAGGAAGCCCCGGCUAACUACGUGCCAGCAGCCGCGGUAAUACGUAGGGGGCAAGCGUUAUCCGGAAUUAUUGGGCGUAAAGAGUGCGUAGGUGGUCUACUAAGCGCGAGGUGAAAGGCAAUGGCUCAACCAUUGUUAGCCUUGUGAACUGGCAGACUUGAGUGCAAGAGAGGAAAGCGGAAUUCCUAGUGUAGCGGUGAAAUGCGCAGAUAUUAGGAGGAACACCGGCGGCGAAGGCGGCUUUCUGGAUUGUAACUGACACUGAGGCACGAAAGCGUGGGUAGCAAACAGGAUUAGAUACCCUGGUAGUCCACGCCGUAAACGAUGAGCACUAGGUGUCGGGACAUGAGUCUCGGUGCCGCAGUUAACGCAAUAAAGUGCUCCGCCUGGGGAGUACGCACGCAAGUGUAAAACUCAAAGGAAUUGACGGGGACCCGCACAAGCAGCGGAGCAUGUGGUUU